GGAAGAGUUGUUGGAGCAAGAAAAUCCUUCACUUGGACAAAUCCAUAACCUUGACUAAGAGGAAACAUGAAAGGAAAAGAUUUUGGUGAAUUUGGAGCUUGAGUUUGGAGAAGAAAAAGGAGCGGAAAAGGUACACCAGCUGAGCCACAGUUAUCAUAGAAGAUGUUCCAGCGGAGUUGGCGGGCUCCACUUGUUCUGGAGUGCUGCCGAGUCAGAGUAUAUGAGCUAUGGUGUUUGUUCAAUGUUAGAGACUUUGCAGACAGAGUCAUGAGUAUAGAGUGUCAGCUUGGUAGACGGCUUCACCCGUCACAAUGUUAUUACGUUUCAUGUCGCGGGUCCCAUAUGAUGAUAGACAUUACUUAUGAAAAAAAAAAUAUUG